rnacentral:rRNA from 1 species
UUGCUUAUCAAAUCAGUGGCGAACGGGUGAGUAAGACAUAAAUAAUCUACCCCUAAGCCUGGGAUAACUAGAGGAAACUUUAGCUAAUACCGGAUAGUUGAGAAUAAGGCAUCUUAAUCUUAUUAAAGAUGGGAAACAUCACUAAGGGAUGAGUUUAUGGCGCAUUAGCUAGUUGGUGAGAUAAGAGCCCACCAAGGCGAUGAUGCGUAGCCGAUCUGAGAGGAUGACCGGCCACAUUGGGACUGAGACACGGCCCAGACUCC